GAGGUAAGAUAGAUGGUCGCCCUGUUCUUUUUAAGAACCGGGAGGAAAGUCCGAACUCCGGAGGGCAUGGUGCUGGGUAACGCCCAGUGGGGGUAACCCUAAGGAAAGUGCCACAGAGAACAGACCGCCGAUGGUAAAUAGCCCUUUUUAGGGUUACAUUACACAGGUAAGGGUGAAACGGUGAGGUAAGAGCUCACCGCUCCAUUGGUGACAAUGGAGGCACGGUAAACCCCACCAGGAGCAAGACCAAAUAGGGGAACAUUCAGUGCAGAAAUGUACUGAUGAAGUUGGCCCGACCGGGUUCCCGGGUUAGGUCGCUUAAGGUCUCAAGAGAUUGGGAUCUCAGAGGAAUGAUCAUCACCCCUCAAAGGGUAACCUUAGAGGGGGACAGAAUUCGGCUUAUUUCUUACCUCGUCC
rfam:Nitrospirae bacterium RIFCSPHIGHO2_02_FTLL_42_12 rifcsphigho2_02_scaffold_12701, whole genome shotgun sequence.